CGCAUUUUUAGUGUAGGUAGAUCUCUUUGACUGGUCAUGUUAAAAGUAGCUCGCAAGUCAAAAAAGUGUGGGCACCCCUGAUAUACAGUAAAUAUAAAUAUUAGUCAUAAUUCGCAGCCUUAGAAGCACAAGCAUCCAAAGUAAAAUUGCAAAUGCAGAGUUUAAAAUUUUCACCAUGAUGACAAAGUCCAAGAAGUGUAACUUACUCCUGCAGAAAAUAAAUAAUAAUUAUUAUUAAGUAUCAGUGAUGUUUCCGUUGUUCAGGUGGCGAUUGCAGGCGCAUUUUAUCCGAACUGCUUCCUCCAGGGAACUGUGGACGAGGAGCUCGCCUCCAAGGAACUCUAUGGAAACGACCCCAGGACCACCGUAGUGGUGUGUAAUCUCCCUCCAUUUGCAUUCCUCUACUAUAAACAGCUCCAGUCUCUCUUCAGACACUGUGGUUAAAUCAAAUCCAUCUCCUUUGACAGCUCCAGGUGUGUGUGUGUGUGUGUGUGUGUGUGUGUGUGUGUGUGUGUGUGUUUAAUUGUGAUUUUCUAUAAAUGUGUAUUGUGGGUCUGUGUGUAUCAGGGCCUAUGUAGAGUUCUACCGCUCGUCAAUGAGAGGUUCUGGCGUUCUCCCAGAGGUCUCUCUGUCUUUCCUCCUCGCGCAGCAGAGACUUCCUCUCCAUCUCAACGUUUAACCCGCUGGAGAGGUGGAGACUUGGGCAGGGGGGUAGUGUAUCUCACACCUCAGAUAUACACGGGUGAAUGUGGAUAUUCAGAAUCAGUCAGUGAGCCCUGUCGGGGUUCUGAGCAGCUCCAUUGAGCUGGAGAAUCUUCCGUCUAACCCUGUCUUUAUCAUCAAUAUC